rnacentral:misc_RNA from 1 species
AACGCACAUUGCGCCCUUUGGUAUUCCGAAGGGCAUGCCUGUUCGAGCGUCAUUAUAACCACUCAAGCCUACGCUUGGUAUUGGGGUUCGCGACCAGCGGCUCCUAAAAUCAGUGGCGGUGCUUGUAAGCUCUACGCGUAGUAAUUCUCUCGCGACGGAACCUUACGAGUUGCUUGCCAAAACUCGAAUAUUUUAUCAGGUUGACCUCGGAUCAGGUAGGGAUACCCGCUGAACUUAA